rnacentral:rRNA from 1 species
UCCUACGGGGGGCAGCAGUGGGGAAUAUUGCACAAUGGGGGAAACCCUGAUGCAGCAACGCCGCGUGAAGGAAGACGGUUUUCGGAUUGUAAACUUCUGUUCUUAGUGAAGAAAAAUGACGGUAGCUAAGGAGCAAGCCACGGCUAACUACGUGCCAGCAGCCGCGGUAAUACGUAGGUGGCAAGCGUUAUCCGGAUUUACUGGGUGUAAAGGGCGAGUAGGCGGGAUUGCAAGUCAGAUGUGAAAACUAUGGGCUCAACCGAUAGAGUGCAUUUGAAACUGCAGUUCUUGAGUGAUGGAGAGGG